rnacentral:rRNA from 1 species
GCUUGCUGCUUCGCUGACGAGUGGCGGACGGGUGAGUAAUGUCUGGGAAACUGCCCGAUGGAGGGGGAUAACUACUGGAAACGGUAGCUAAUACCGCAUAAUGUCGCAAGACCAAAGAGGGGGACCUUCGGGCCUCUUGCCAUCGGAUGUGCCCAGAUGGGAUUAGCUUGUUGGUGAGGUAACGGCUCACCAAGGCGACCAUCCCUAGCUGGUCUGAAAGGAUGACCAGCCACACUGGAACUGAAACACGGUCCAGACUCCUACCGGAGGCAGCAGUGGGGAAUAUUGCACAAUGGGCGCAAGCCUGAUGCAGCCAUGCCGCGUGUAUGAAGAAAGCCUUCCGGUUGUAAAGUACUUUCAGCGGGGAGGAAGGGGUUAAGGUUAAUAACCUUAGCCAUUGACGUUACCCGCAGAAGAAGCACCGGCUAACUCCGUGCCAGCAGCCGCGGUAAUACCGAAGGUGCAAGCGUUAAUCCGAAUUACUGGGCGUAAAGCGCACGCAGGCGGUCUGUCAAGUCCGAUGUGAAAUCCCCGGGCUCAACCUGGGAACUGCAUUCGAAACUGGC